AUAAUGAGACUUCCGUCGAGAGACGGCUCGGUGAGAACCACGGAGGGGCAGGAACGACCCAUGG
rnacentral:ncRNA from 1 species